rnacentral:lncRNA from 1 species
CUUGCGGAGACUGGGCGCAGGGCGUGGGGGUCAGUGAGGGCGCGGUGGGUCAGCCCCAGCCCGGCUGGCAGUCGCGGGGCUGGGAAGGUAGGGAACCCUCCGCUCUCACCCCACUUCCUGUUUGGUCGGUGUGUUCUGUGACCAUAGAUGGUCAAGUCUGGGGCCGCGCGGAAGCCUCCGCCCUGUGGUUUUGGAGCCCUUCCUCCCGGCGCGCAGGGUGUGGUCCCCGAGAAUAAGAUGAGCAGAAUUAAAGCAGAUCCUGCACCCACUCUGCUGAAAUCCGGCUUCUGAGGCAGCCUCGCCCAGGGCUGGGUGGGCUCAGGCGGCUGCUACUCGGUUCAGGGGAGGUUACGCACGGUGGCUGCCGCGCGCAGGGGAGGCUUCGCUUCCGUACUCCUUGGGCCGGGAGAUCCGAUCUUUGUUCCCUCAAGACUCACACUCUCCAACCGGUCAUUAUCCUCCCACAAAGAUUUAUUUCUAGAAAAAAUUGGCAAGUGCCACAGUUCCCGCCCCUUCAGCUGAACGACUGUGACAGCUCCGUGUUUCAAGUUGAAUGCAGGCGUUAUGUGCCAGAGUCAAUCAUUCAACAAAUAAAGUUCUUAAAAUAACAGCUACCAUUUACUGCACGCUGACUACUUGCCAGGCCCAUGCUGAGUUCUUCAAGCGUAUUUUCAUUUACUCCUAAUAGCAACUCUCGGUGAGACAGAAGGAACAUAGACCAUACACGCAUUCUAGAGGAAGAGGAGAGAGAAGAGGAAGCAGGAAGGAGAAUGAAGAAAGUUUCCUCAUCAGGUGGGGAAUAUUAAUGGGGCUGUAAUGAGAAACGGAAGCAGUAAUGUAUGUGAAACCACUUUGUAAAAUGCUUCAUUAUAAAGAAUGCACACACGACUUAAGUUACAACCCCUGCCCUAAGGAAUGUCCAGUCUUUUAAGAAGUCUAGAUCCAUGCAUUUGUAACUCCAGUAGGAGAUGGGAAGAUAGUUUAAGAAUAUCCGUCACAUGAAGGGCUGGGCGCGGUGGCUCACACCUGUAAUCCCAGCAUUUUGGGAGGCCGAGGCGGGCAGAUAACGAGGUCAAGAGAUCAAGACCAGCCUGGCCAAUAUGGUGAAACCCCGUCUCUACUAAAAAAUACAAAAAUUAGCUGGGCGUGGUGGCAUGCGCCUGUAGUCCCAGCUAUUUGGGAGGCUGAGGCAGGAGAAUCGCUUGAACCCGGGAGGCAGAGGUUGCAGUAAGCUGAGAUCGUGCUUCUCUACUCUAGCCUGGCGACAGAGUGAGACUCUGUCUCAAAAAAAUAAAUAAAAGAAUAUCUGUCACAUGUAUUUAUGCACUGAAAAAAAACUAUUGAGCUACAUAGUAGCAAUUAUUGGAAGAGUUCAAUAAUUGCUAUGCUACUUUGUACCAAGCACAACUAGGGAUCCAGCAGUGGACAAGUCAGACCCUGUUACUGCUCUCAUGGAGCUUACAGUCUAUUUUGGAAAUGAUAUUUCCAUUUGGAGUGGUCAUCAGAAGAUACGCUGCCUUCUGUCUUCCAGCUUUUUCCUCCUCGCUGAUCUUGCCCCUUGUCCAGUACCCAGUGCUUCAUCCAUGUCUCUCUUGCAGAUAACUAUGGCCGUGUGCCUGAGAUCUGGCCAAUGGAAUCGUGGACAGUUCUCCAUGCUCUUUCUCCUUCUGUGGCAACUCUGAAUGUCGUGUGUUCAAGAUGAAGACAGAAGAUAGAAUGACCUUGGGUCUCUGAAUCAUUGCUUGGAGAAGAGCAAUUUACUGAUCAGUGGUGUGAAAAUAAGUAAUUCAAAAUCUAAGCUAUUGGGCCAGGUGCAGUGGCUCACGCCUGUAACCCCAGCACUUUGGGAAACCAAGGCAGGUGGAUCAUUUGAGGUCAGGAGUUCGAGACCAGCCUGGCCAACAGGGUGAAACCCCGUCGCUACUAAAAAUACAAAAAAUUAGCCGGGCAUGGUGGCAUACGCCUGUGGCCCCAGCUACUUGGGAGGCUAGGGCACGAGAAACACUUAAGCCCAGGAGGCGGAAGUUGCAGUGAGCCAAGACUGCACCACUGCAUGCUAGCCUGGGCAAGAGAGCAAGACUCUGCCUCA